rnacentral:pre_miRNA from 1 species
CAAAGUGCUUACAGUGCAGGUAGCUUCUUGAGAUCUACUGCACUGCAAGCACUUCUUAC